rnacentral:rRNA from 1 species
AUUCGAUGCAACGCGAAGAACCUUACCAGGGCUUGACAUCCUGCGAACCUCUGGGAAACCGGAGGGUGCCCUCGGGAGCGCAGAGACAGGUGGUGCAUGGCUGUCGUCAGCUCGUGUCGUGAGAUGUUGGGUUAAGUCCCGCAACGAGCGCAACCCACGUCUUUAGUUGCCAGCAUUUAGUUGGGCACUCUAGAGAGACCGCCGGUGACAAACCGGAGGAAGGUGUGGAUGACGUCAAGUCAUCAUGCCCCUUACGUCCUGGGCUACACACGUACUACAAUGCUACGGACAAAGAGCAGCAAACUCGCGAGGGUAAGCAAAUCUCAUAAACCGUGGCUCAGUUCAGAUCGUAGGCUGCAACUCGCCUACGUGAAGGAGGAAUCGCUAGUAAUCGCAGGUCAGCAUACUGCGGUGAAUACGUUCCCGGGCCUUGCACACACCGCCCGUCACACCAUGGAAGUGCCACGCC